GUGAGUUCUACAUACUAAUUAACAAACUUAUGACAUUUACUUUGAAAAUAACCUAUUUUCUGUAUCCGCUUGUAUGGUUAAGGCCAGUUAUUGUUGUAGCCUAUUACAGCAUCAUUGAGAGGUAGGAAGAGAAACUGACCCUGGAUGGUUGGCAUGAAUUGCACUAAUACUGGGCCAGUUUACAUUCACCUAAUCCAACAUGCAGUUUUCUUUCAGAAACAGAUAGAAAUACCUCAAAAGCAUCUAGAGAAUAUGUACCACUUCACAGAAAGUAGCAAGUAUGGAUUCAUGAAUUUCCAGUACCAUUAUGCUACCUUGGAAAGUACUUCUUACUCUAGUUUCCUUUUCUAAAAUGUGUAAUAGUGUAAUUUAAAGUAUUUGUGGAGUCAGUUGUAAUGGGGUGUCUCACUGUCAUGAGGUUGCCAAGGGUACAGGCACUAUAAGGAUGGUACUAGGUGAGGUUGAGUUCCACAGUCGAUGUCCAAGAAAAAAGACAGAGAACCACAACGGCAGUUGAAGAUGCCUUGUAUGUUGUGCUGUAUGUUUAUAAUGGCCAUUAGACAGGAGGUGUGAAAGAGAAAUGGCCUAGGCCAAAGCACACAAUGCAGCCCAAGCACUUAGGAGAGAAGGCUACAUAGCAAUUGGCAGGGCCAUCUGGACAUCUGACCAGAGAGAGACAGUGAAGCCAAGGAGUAGAUAUUACAUGUGGAAACAUUGCAGGGCUGCUAGAGCCCCCACAAUCUCAGAGAAACAUACCUGGGCCUGAGUUGGGAGGUCACCUUAGAGACCUACAUGUGGUUUAAGGCUGUCUCACUGCCAGAGGUCCUUUGAGAGAAGAAUUGGAAAGAGACUGAGCAAACACGAGUGAGGAAAAGAGGACAGGGUCUGGAGAGAGUAUGGCUGAAGAGCUGAAGGAGGAAAUGCCUUGUUGUAGUACUGAGGUGGGCAAAGCACGCCACCAAACAGGCAGAGUUUCAAGAUGUGUAUAUUCAGGACCAGUGAGGCAGCAGGUUUGUUUUGUACUUUGCUUUGCCCCUGUGUUCAUUCUUACCUGUGGUUAUGGUUACUAAUAAUAAUGCUAUAUUUGUAUACCUUCUGCCUUCUUGGUAUAUUUGUAGUUAUACACAUUAUAUAAAUCUUUGGCAAUGUUAUUCGUUCAGUUCAUAUUGUUUCUUGUUUUAUGGGUAUAGCUAUUGAGGAUCUCGCUAAAGUGAACUGCAUCUUAAGAAAAGGAGUGCACUUUGUAUUUUGGUUAGGUCUAAGGCUGGGUAAGAGGUAUGCAAAAACAAAGAUUACAAUUAUUCUGCUGUGUUUACCACAUCCAUCAAUUCUUAAUACAUAUGUGAUAAAGAAUUUCUAAAUCUUGUAACAGAUUGAGCUGAGACAUGUACUGUACUCACAUGUAUUUGGAAAUAUGUUAAAUGUGAUGGAAAUUUUCACAAGAAUUUUAAAUGUUGUAGGUGCCAGAGGGAGCAUAUGGAAUGUAUUUAUUUUGAAUAGAAAAAUGCCUUCUCACCUCAAUAAAAAAACUAAACAAUCAGCAUUUUGGGUCAGUUUGUAUUUAAGGCAAUGUAAUGCCUGCUUAACAUGUUUUGUUUGUCUUUAUUUGCAAUAAGAAUUUAAAGUAAAACUUUUAAUUGCUUUUAGUGCAGAUCAAGCAGUAAAUCAACAACAAUAUCACAUCUCUACUACAACUGCAAUCGAAAAUGUUCCACAACAACAAGAACUGAGAAGAUGAAAUGUUACAAAUUGUAAUUCAAUUUCUACCUCAUUCCUGUGGGUCUAAUGAAAACAUCUAUUUGGUCCACUAAUAACAAACAGCAUAUCCAACCAGUGAAAUUAAGUUCUUUA